CCACUCGGUCAUAGUAGGGGGGCAACACCCGGACUCAUCUCGAACCCGGAAGUUAAGCCUCCUACGUUAGGAGGGCCGUGGAGUCCGAAAGGAUCCGUAGCCCUUCUAAGCUGAGGUGG
rnacentral:rRNA from 2 species